rnacentral:rRNA from 1 species
UACGUAGGGUGCAAGCGUUAAUCGGAAUUACUGGGCGUAAAGCGUGCGCAGGCGGUUGGGCAAGACAGAUGUGAAAUCCCCGGGCUCAACCUGGGAAUUGCGAUGGAGACUGCAAGGCUAGAAUCUGGCAGAGGGGGGUAGAAUUCCACGUGUAGCAGUGAAAUGCGUAGAGAUGUGGAGGAACACCGAUGGCGAAGGCAGCCCCCUGGGUCAAGAUUGACGCUCAUGCACGAAAGCGUGGGGAGCAAACAGG